rnacentral:tRNA from 1 species
GGCUCCAUAGCUCAGUGGACCAGAGCGCUGGUCUAUGAAACCAGAGGUCGCGGAGUUCGAUCCUCGCUGGAGUCG